rnacentral:rRNA from 1 species
UACGGAGGGUGCGAGCGUUGUCCGGAAUCACUGGGCGUAAAGGGCGCGUAGGCGGCGCGGGCAGUCAACGGUGAAAGCUCGGGGCUCAACCCUGAGUCGGCCGUCGAUGCUCCCGUGCUCGAGCACUGUAGAGGCAGGUGGAAUUCCGGGUGUAGCGGUGGAAUGCGUAGAGAUCCGGAAGAACACCGGUGGCGAAGGCGGCCUGCUGGGCAGUAGCUGACGCUG